rnacentral:ncRNA from 1 species
AAGUAUCUCCGAGUCUCGCCUGUGACGGAGGAGAUAGGAGUAACGGCUGGUUGGUACAGCCAUCGACGUUCUUGUUUGACAAGAAAACUGGUGUGUUCGCACCUCAAGAGCAGGUCACGUCGUAAACCACAAUACCCCAACGUGGGAAUCCUCGCGCUUCAGCGCGGGGA